AUGAACGCUGGCGGCGUGCUUAACACAUGCAAGUCGAACGAAGCACUUUGAUCGAUUCUUCGGAUUGAAAUUUUAGUGACUGAGUGGCGGACGGGUGAGUAACGCGUGGGUAACCUGCCUCACACAGGGGGAUAACAGUUGGAAACGGCUGCUAAUACCGCAUAAGCGCACAGUACCGCAUGGUACAGUGUGAAAAACUCCGGUGGUGUGAGAUGGACCCGCGUCUGAUUAGCUUGUUGGCGGGUAACGGCCCACCAAGGCGACGAUCAGUAGGGGUUCUGAGAGGAAGGUCCCCCACAUUGGAACUGAGACACGGUCCAAACUCCUACGGGAGGCAGCAGUGAGGAAUAUUGGUCAAUGGACGAGAGUCUGAACCAGCCAAGUAGCGUGCAGGAUGACGGCCCUAUGGGUUGUAAACUGCUUUUAUAAGGGAAUAAAGUGAGUCUCGUGAGACUUUUUGCAUGUACCUUAUGAAUAAGGACCGGCUAAUUCCGUG
rnacentral:rRNA from 1 species